AGUGAACGCUGGCGGUAGGCCUAACACAUGCAAGUCGAACGGCAGCACAGUAAGAGCUUGCUCUUACGGGUGGCGAGUGGCGGACGGGUGAGGAAUACAUCGGAAUCUACUUUUUCGUGGGGGAUAACGUAGGGAAACUUACGCUAAUACCGCAUACGACCUACGGGUGAAAGAAGGGGAUCUUCGGACCUUGCGCGAUUGAAUGAGCCGAUGUCGGAUUAGCUAGUUGGCGGGGUAAAGGCCCACCAAGGCGACGAUCCGUAGCUGGUCUGAGAGGAUGAGCAGCCACACUGGAACUGAGACACGGUCCGGACUCCUACGGGAGGCAGCAGUGGGGAAUAUUGGACGAUGGGCGCAAGCCUGAUCCAGCCAUGCCGCGUGGGUGAAGAAGGCCUUCAGGUUGUAAAGCCCUUUUGUUGGGAAAGAAAAUCAGCAGGUUAAUACCCCGCUGUUCUGACGGUACCCAAAGAAUAAGCACCGGCUAACUUCGUG
rnacentral:rRNA from 1 species